rnacentral:rRNA from 1 species
UACAGAGGGGGCGAGCGUUGUUCGGAAUUACUGGGCGUAAAGGGCUCGUAGGUGGCCAACUAAGUCAGACGUGAAAUCCCUCGGCUUAACCGGGGAACUGCGUCUGAUACUGGAUGGCUUGAGUUCGGGAGAGGGAUGCGGAAUUCCAGGUGUAGCGGUGAAAUGCGUAGAUAUCUGGAGGAACACCGGUGGCGAAGGCGGCAUCCUGGACCGACACUGACACUGAGGAGCGAAAGCCAGGGGAGGCAAACGGG